rnacentral:tRNA from 2 species
GCCGCUGUGGCGGAACAGGCAGACGCACUGGACUUAAAAUCCGGUGGCCUCCGGGCCGUGCCGGUUCAAAUCCGGCCGGCGGCACCA